CCCAGAGCUCAGCCCCUUGGUGCAUGCCCAACCACAAAGUACAGGAAAUGUACUUUUAGAUAUGGAACAACAACUGCAGGCAAAUAGCAUUCGUAUAAAAGUUAUGGAGCAGGAAAACACUGCCCUACACAGCAGCCUUGAGAAACUAAGGGAAAGAACACAACAUAGUGGCACCCAGGAUGUUUCACCUCAGCAGAAAUGGAGCCUUUCUUUGCUCAGCACACCAGCAGAAAAACUGACACAAAUGCAAAAGAGUCUAUUGCAGAAUAGCAGUGAAGCACAGCGGGGACACAAAUGGAAGGAAGCAAGAGGUAGAGAAAGUGGUCUGGUGUCAGAAACGUCAGAGGAUUGUGUGUCCACUGUUGCUGCCUCCCCCUCGUCCCUGCAAAUUCACUUUCAACCCAUCCACCUCAACAGGGGCUCCAGUGCUGCCAAAAUCCAUUCAAAAACAGGCAGUGCUUCUCUUCUGUCUCAAUCUAGAUCCUUGAAUCAGAGAAGAAAAUGAAGCCCUGAAGACAUAAAUGCAUUUAAAUAGAAGACUGUUUUGCAUGUAGAGAAAACACAGCUUUAUGUAAUGUAAGGAUUUGUGGUUCAUAAAAGUAUUAUUUUCUACAUUAAUAUGUUAUGGUCUCUUCCUGCAUAUUAUACAUGUACUAUUACAUUAACAUGGUGUACAUUUAAAAUGUUGGAUUACCACUGUUACCACUAGAUCUCUCAUUAUGCUACAGUGAAUAUGCUGUAUACUGUAUACAAUACAAUUAC